rnacentral:misc_RNA from 1 species
GAUGAAGAACGUAGCGAAAUGCGAUACGUAGUGUGAAUUGCAGAGUUCAGUGAAUCAUCGAAUCUUUGAACGCACAUUGCACCUCUCGGUAUUCCGGGAGGUAUGCCUGUUCGAGCGUCAUUUGUACCCUCAAGCUCUGCUUGGUGUUGGGUGUUUGUUCCGCCUCUGUGUGUGAACUCGCCUCAAAACAAUUGGCAGCCGGCGUACUUGUUUCGGAGCGCAGCACAUUUUGCGAUCCAGAUCAACGUACAGCGGCAUCCAAGAAGCCUUAUUUAACGCUCUUGACCUCGGAUCAGGUAGGGAUACCCGCUGAACUUAAGCAUAUCAAUAAGCGGAGGA